ensembl:lncRNA
UUUUGUUGUUGCUAUUUCUUGGGCCGCUCCCACGGCAUAUGGAGGCUCCCAGGCUAGGGGUUGAAUCGGAGCUGUAGCCACCGGCCUACGCCAGAGCCACAGCAACGCAGGAUCCGAGCCGCGUCUGCAGCCUACACCACAGCUCACGACAACGCCGGAUCAUUAACCCACUGAGCAAGGGCAGGGACCGAACCCGCAACCUCAUGGUUCCUAGCCGGAUUCGUUAACCACUGCACCACGACGGGAACUCCUCUAAUUUUUAUUUUUAAGAGAGGGUGACAACAGGUAUAAAUUGAAUAUUCCCAAAAUAGCUGGAACAAAGUUUAACAUUCAUUUGCAUAUAUUAUGUCCACUGGAACCCAGCCAAUAGCCAGAAGCCUGUCUGACACCUAUAUUUGAAGUCUAGACUCUAGGGUAAGGCCAGCACUAAUGGCUGAUGACCAUCAUCUGCUCUGUCUGAAGUUCAUGGCAUGGCCUUAGACAUAGCCUCUGGCUGCAUAAUCUUGUCCUCUCCCUGGGGAUAUAUCCAUUAGUUACAGUAUGAAGCACAGACCAGGCCAAUUAAGAGUAUCACACACACAGGAGGUAAUAACAGAAGUGGUGCUAACAGGAAAUGAACUGCUUUUUUGGUUCACAAUAGAUAUAAAGAAAAUAUGACAUAAAAUAUACAUAGGAGUAAAAAUAGCUACUGUUGAAAAGGGUUACUUCUGGGAAAAAAGAAUACUAUCAGAGAAAGCUUAUCUUUCCUUUUUUUUCUGAAUAUUCAACUAAAAAUGUUUAGCUUAUCUAAAUUAAGUCCAGAAAGUCACAACCUUUUUCCAAAUGGUCAUUUUAGGUCUGGAUAUUAAAAUGUUGCAUCUCAAACUUAUGGUUUGAGAACUUAAAAAAACUUAAAAAAAACCUGAGCAUCAAAAACUUAAAUAAAAUAAAAUGCUGUUUCUAAAUUCAGUGAUUCAAGAAGAGAAUUCAAAUAUCUCAAACUCAUAUGAAUAAUUCUUAAUGAUAAUCAUUACCUUCAUAUAGUUUUUAUAUAUGACUAUGCCAGCCGCUGGUUUAAGUGUUUUUAGUAACAAUAAGUCAUUCAAUCCCCAUAAAACACAAUGAGGUCCAUAUCGUCAUUGCUGCCAUUUUAUACAGUAAAGCAUAAAGCCUAUAAUUAACUUUAAGAUUUGGGUUUGUACCCAGGGAAUUUGAUCCUGCACUGCAAUGCUACUCAAAACACACAUUACGCUUCCUUACUAUGGCAAAUACUGAGCGAUCUUUACAGGAAAUUAAAAACAGCAAGUAUUCCAUAAUGCAUUAAGUAGUUUCUACACUAACUUUUAUAGAAUUAUCAAGAGGGUUACGCAUAUAAAUCAUGCAAACAUUUUUGGUUUUGUUUUUUGAUAAAUCAUGGAGAAUGAGCAGUGAGGAGUUUUCUUCAUAUUGUCUUUUAUUUAGGCAUCACCGGCAUCAAAACAGAUAAAGGACUUUCUACUUCUAAGGUUAAACAGUGAAAAUUGCACCCUUUUAAAAAGCCACCUUGUUAUAAUGUUCUUAUAGUUAGUCUAAAUUCUCUCACCUUUAUUUAAUCCUAAAUCUCGGUUGGCACACAUUUGCGGAAACUGUUUUUUUUUUUUUUUGGCCAUGAUCUUUCAUACAUGAGAAUUGCCUUCUUUUCUCAAACUAAGUGUCAGUAACUCCUUGAACCCUUCUUCAGAGGUCCUGGUUUUCAGGACAUUAAUCAUUUUAGUUGGUAUCUCUGAGUCUUACACAUGUCCAUCCCAUCAAUUUUGAAAAGUAAGAAUUAAACUGCACACUCAUUUUUAUUCAAACUGAUACUUGUUUUUCAAUAUGUACUUGUAGUCAUCCUGCUAGAAGAACAUUCAAGUGGUUUGUUGUUGUUGUUUGUUUUAAAAUGAACAAAUGCCACUGUUUAAAAAAAAAAAAAACAGAAUACAUAAGAUUCAGAGCUUUCAGUAAAAUCACACUGCUUAUUCACAUUACCUGGUUUCAGACCAACAUGAUUUGUGCCUAGUAAGCUAUCUUCUACCACACAUAUCUCUUGUGAAUACAGCAUCACUGAUUAUCCCUCCAGUGUUUCAAAGUCACAAGAAAUCCUAGCUCCUUCUGUCCAGAUUUUGGCAUUUGUACCCAAAGUGCACCAUUCUAUAUCUUACUGAAAAUAUUUUGAUAAUAUAACAAUAUUUUCAGGCUAAGGACAUAGCUCUAAAGGAUAAUACCUGCUAUGUCCACAGAUUGUGAUAUUCAUGGGUUUAAUUUUUCAAUUCUCUAAGCAAUUACUUAGCUAACCAUUGUUUUAAAGUGGGCUUAUUAGUUGUAUUAUAAUAAACCAGUUUCAUGUAGUAAUCAAUAAUAGUUAAAAUUCUAUAGGAUUGUUAUGAAUCUUAAUUCACUCAUCUUUUCUUUCUUUACUUAAUUAAUAAUUAAUACUGAAUAUUAACUAAUAAGGACCUACCGUAUAGCACACGGAAGUCUACUCAAUAUUCUGUAAUAACCUAUAUGGGAAAAAAAGAAUGGAUAUAUGUAUAUGUAUAACUGAUUCACUUUGCUGUAUAUCUGUAACUAUACAACAUUGUAAGUCAACUAAGCGCCAAUAAAAUUUACAUAAAAUAAAAAUAAAGAAAUCUUUAACUCAAAAAUAUAAAUAAAAUACAAUUUUAAAAUUCAUUGGUUUAAAAAAAUUGAAAUAAAUGAAACUCAUACUGGUGCCUUUGAAAGUCAGGCUUACUAUCUCUUUGCUAAGCGUAUCUCUUCCAAUUUCUGCAACAACAUAUGCACACACAUAAAAUUUACACAGACAUAGACAUACACACACUGGACCUUUAUUUAUGAAGCCUUUUAUUUAUUCAGUUGCCAUAAUCUGUAUAUUUGGUCUAUGUUUUAGUAUAAGCUUAUCAAAUAACAAGCAUUCCAUUAGGCACUAGUUUGGUUAAAAAGUCUAGUCUGUAUUGUUCUCUGGCUUAGCUAGUUUGUAAGAGUUUCAAAAAGAACCAAAUGAGAAAACUCACUUAGAUGAAAAAUAAAUUGCAUUUAUUAUCUUACCUCACAGAUAUCCUACUAUGUCCACUCACAAUAUUGCUCCCUCCCAUUAGGCUCUAUAUCCAUGACUGGAUGUAUAGUUGUCUAAUUAUUUGACUUUUGUCCACUCCAAUAUUUCUUUAGCUAAGAAUCACUCAUAAAUUUAUUUAGUAUUCUACUCAAGAAAUUUUAUGUUUGUCGCAGACUAUAAACAUCCAGGGAAAAUGAGAACUCUUCUUUGACAAAUACAGUGACAUAUGUACUUGCUUACUGUGUCCAUUUCUUGAUUUUUUUUUUUUUCCUAUAUGGUUAAAAGGGAACAUUGCUCAAAGGAAGCAACAUUAAAGAAAAGUAAAAGAAUUAUAUCUUGCUUCAAGCGAACUGAAAGCUACAAGGUUUUGUUUUUUCACUAUUUAAUCUAAGUUGCAUAAAUUCACUCCAGUUAUUGGAGCGCUUCUAACAUAUGAGAUACAGACUAUUAUACCAUAAAUCUUGCUCCAUAGUCAGCAUUCUACGAAAAGUCCCUUAGAGAAAGGAUAUUGUUUACAGCCAACAUGUGUUUAUCAAGCUCUGUAGCUCCGUGGGUGUGCUUACUUACUUAAUCACAGAACUGCCUGUCUGAGACAGAGAAAUUUGUACCUUUGCAAAAUUCACGCCAAGGUCACUGACAGCCGUUAGAACAUUGCCUCAUCUGGCUGUCAUCCAACCUGUCUAGUGGGCUAUUGAAGUCUCACUCUCCCCUUAUCUACCUAGGUUAUGAUGAAGGAUAUUUCAGAUUAGACUCCUCAAGUUUUAAAACAUCAAGACAUAGUUAAUCGAAGUGUUGUUCAUGCUUUUUGACUGUUACCUUUAAACUAUUUAGUUAUUAGAAUGUUGAAAUGGCUAGGAAUGUCAAAAGUUAUUAUAGUAUAGUACAAGUUUGUAUUUGAAAGGAUAGGAGCUAUAUUCAUGUCUAUGUAUCAUGGCUGACAUUGAAGGCAAAGAAAGGUCACAACAAGUGUCAGAAAAAAAGCUACAAAAUUGAAUCAUACCGUGUAUGUUUUAUUUAGCAACAUUAAAAAGAAAGCUAGGUGGAAAAGAGAACAUUGGAGUUCCCAUUUUGGCUCAGUGGGUUAAGAACCCAACAUAGUCUCCACGAGGAUGCGAGUUUGAUCCCUGACCUCACUUGGUUGGUUAAGGAUCUGGUGUGGCCGCAAGCUGUGGCACAGCUCAUACGUGUGGCUUGGAUCCAGUGUUGCUCUAGCUGUGGCACAAGCCCACAGCUAUAGCUCUGAAUAGAUACCUAGCCCAGGAACAUCCAUAUAGUCAGUGUAUGGGCAUAAAAAGAGAAAAAAAAAAAAAUAGGGAGAACAUUGAUUCCAGCUUGUCUAUUUCUAAACACUACUUCUUUGUACUCUUUGUAGUUACUCAGGUAUUUGUAUUUGGAAGUUUUACAUUUUAUAAUUCAAGCAGCCGAUUUUGGGGGGACUAAUUUCCUGAACAAUUUUGAAAGUCAAGGAACUCGCUUUGUGUACAUUUAGAAUAGUUUUACAAAUACGUUUAAUUGGAAUUUGUUUUAAUUAAUGCCCUUUAAUUCACAUUAUUUAAAUAAUGAUUUUUAAUUAAUUUAUUUACUAGUUUUGUAGUCAUGCUUUUUCACCAGUUGAACUCCUAAAAUUGUAUUAUUUUAAAUCCAUACAUCUGUUUUUGUUAGUAGAAAUAGUUUAAUAAUUGUUAUUAUCUAAACUAUUUUAAGGCUUGGUCAGGAUGCCACCCAUAUUUUAUUCUUAUAUUGUAUUUUCUAUUAUAUUUGAAUGUUUAUGCUUUUCUGCUACUCAAAUACAUGUACAAAUUGAAUGCAUAUAUGGUGUAUGUUUUCUUUGUCCAUUCUUUAUGCAAAAGUGGUGCAUUUGCCAAGAAUCAAUAAAUGCUUUUUCAUUUGUCUAGUGAAACAAAUGAAAAAUUAAUAUUCUGUGAAUAUAAAACAAAUAUUAGACACUUGCUGAAUAAUUUAUGUUUAAUUUGCUAUAUGAAGUUCAGUUUUAUAAAUAAAAAUCACUUAUCUCUAAGAAUAUUUUAUCAAUAAAUACAUUUAUUUUCAAAAACAUUUGAAUAUUUGUUUAAACUAUUGCUGCUAUUGGAAAAUAGCAUACUCUUCUACAACUUCCUCUUAUUUAAGUACUAAGACUUCAAAAUCAUCAAAUAAUUGCAGUGAGAAAUAAGGAAGGAGUUUUCUCAAACACUUUUUGUAAUGUAGAAAAUAUGAAGGUUAAAAAACAAGCACUGAACUUUUCAAAACAUAAAGUCUGGAGAUAGCUUCCAAAGAAAUUCAGUUGCUACUUCAAAUCACUUCAAUAGCAAAGGUCUAGAAUCACUAAUACCUGUUGAGGGCACCACAUCUCUGUAGUUCUUUCUUGAUCCAUGUGAAUGUCUGGAGAUGCUCUUUCACCAGUUGAUCUUAUUAUCUGGACUUGAACCACUGUCCUCAUUCAUGAGUUCCGAAUUUUCUUAUUCAUUACUGACUCUAGUGACUUAAUUGAAGCAAAUGAGGGAGGGUGUAAAAGAGGGUUAGAAGAUGAUAAAGACUUACCGCCUAUGUCAGGGCCUGUUUUGGGGGCAAAUUCCCAGAUGAACGAAGUAUCAAUAACAUUGAGUUCAGUGGGCAAGCCAAGAGGCCUAGAAAGGCAUGGUAACUUAAUCACCUUCUGCAGACAGUUGCAGCCCACUUUUAGGGACACUGGUUCACUUCUGUAGCAUCUAGAUUUUUUUUCUCUGGUAUUCUUUAGAAGAAAAUCUCACAAACUUGUGUAAUUGAUCCCACCCUAGCUCUAACAGAGGAUGCUGAAUGGCUUAAAAUUUCACUGCAACUACUGCUUUAAAACCAAUAAUUGGUUUAGAAAUAGACAUAAAUCUAAUUGAGACCAGUGAAGGAAAUCCACGGACUUUGCAGAGACUUCAGAAAGAGGCUCUUUCUCUACUCUUGAACAAAUGAUGUGAAAGCUAGACUUCCCUUUGACUGGAGAAAUUUUGCUACCACAUAGGACUAUACAGAGUUGCUGGUGAGACUGGGAAAACCAUGCAGAUUCCUGGGAUGAAGAAAUCAUCCUGGAAGUCACAGGGAACUGCAGAAGCCAGGAAUGAUGGUAUUGCUAAAUUUCUACAUCCAACUUAAAUAUAGAUUUAUCUUUGGAUUUUCCGUUUUUAAGCCAACACAUUUCUCUUAGUUUGAGAGUUAUUUGUUUGCUUUUUUCUGGCAUUGCCCAAAGUAUCUUAUCUAAUACAGUUUUCCAAAGUAUGCCUUAAAUAUUGAGAUGGGAAAUGCAAAAGAGAGACACUCAGAAAUUUAAGCAAGCUAGUAACUA